UACGUAGGUGUCGAGCGUUGUCCGGAUUUAUUGGGCGUAAAGCGCCCGCAGGCGGCUUGGCAAGUUCGAGGUGAAAUCUCCCGGCUCAACUGGGAGGGUGCCUCGGAAACUGCCAGGCUUGAGGCAGGGAGAGGGAUGUGGAAUUCCCGGUGUAGUGGUGAAAUGCGUAGAUAUCGGGAGGAACACCAGUGGCGAAGGCGACU
rnacentral:rRNA from 1 species